UUAACAUGGGAUUUAAAUCUCUACGUUUGUCUCGUUAGGCCCUCCAAAGACGGAAAUCGCAUUUUGAUCAGAUCUUGAUUAAAGAAAAUUAAUUAAAGUUGAGCGAAGGUCACACAAAUUAAAUAUUCCAUGGAAAAGUGCAGUGACAGUCGAACUCAGCGAAAAGGUAACAACCAUGUGCAAGUUCAACUCAAUCUAACCCGUUGAGUGACCAGGUCUGAUUCAUUCCAAUAAUAUCCUCCCCAAUCAACCAGGUAAACUACUCUGGUUAGGUUAGAUUAUAAUGGAUCGGCUGUUCAGAAAUGCUCUGCAUCUUCUUCAAUUCCCCUAACGAUACUUGUUGCGGGUUCUCCUUCAUCUUAAUCUUAUGCAAGUUUGCAGAGAGCCAGUGACGGAUGGAUAUGAAUUCAUCAAAUCCGGAUAUGAAUUCAUCAACUCCAAAUGGUAUAUAUAGAGUACAAAGCGAUGUAAGGUAGCAAGUUUCGGAAGACCUAUGGCACGAAGUGGUUGACCAAAGGUGAAGAUGGCGUUGUCAAUAUACAGUAGCAAGACUACAUCCUAUUCGAAUGAUUCUCCUAAAGACAAAAGCCAUUUGCACGAUCAGAAAGCACAUAUAACGGCCAUAAUCCUAUUAGGACAGGUAGAGCAGGCAGUACUAUUAUUUGUUUAUAAAAUAUAUUCUUAUCAUAAACUAAUAUGCAGCGACUACUAAUUGUGUGCAAGAAAGGAAACUGGUCUGAAGCUAUGACCACACCCAAAAAUUCAAAGAAUCGAGAGGUAAGCUGUCACCGAGGCGGAUUCAAAUGGUGGAUGAAGCAGGGUUUGGACAACUAUCUAACCUAUGUGUGUUUCAAGCUGAUAGGAGUUUGAUAACAACGAUGGCUCCAUGAAACCAACUUAUCUAGGCUAUGUGUGCUCCAAGAUGAAAAAUAAGAUGUCAUUGCAAUUUAUGUGACCUUGUUAAAGAAGUACCCAAUUAAUAUUAUGCAACUGUAUUUGAUAGGUACCCAGUUUAUAUUAUUUAACCAUGUUAAAAAAGUACCCAAUAAAUAAUUUGAGACCCCCUUAAAGAGGUACCCAAUUUAUAUUAUGCUACGGUGUUAGAGAGGUACCCUAUUUCGGAAGAGUUCAACUAUGUAUGUACCUUAAACUCCUUUUGUGUUUAUAUAGUACAUUCUAUAAAAAAAAAAAAUCCAUAAGUAUUAGUUAUGUAUUGAUUGUGUAUUCAAUUAUGGCGCUUAUUUUGUUGGUUAAUUGCAUAACCUGUUUGCUGAUAAGGUGAAUUGUGCAGAUGGCACAAACAAGGCUGGGGACCAGAAAUUGCAAGACGACCUGGAUAAUUUAUGGGCUUCGUAUACGGAGGAGCAGAAGAUGAAACUGGCAAAAAAAAAAAAAACGAAUAAUCAGGGAAGGAGGGGACAACACCCUCUACAGGAUUAUACAUAAACACAGGUUCUGGAUAUAGUGCACCCGAAGUUUCUAUAUCUGGCCAAUAUACCCUAAAGAGUGAUGUUUACAGUUUUGGAGUCGUCAUGUUGGAGAUUCUCACUGGUCGUAAACCCUUUGAAAGAUCAAGAUCUGAACAAUCUUUGUUUCGGUGGGAAACACCUCAGCUCCAUGACAUUGAUGCGUUAGAUGACGUGGUUGACUCAUCACUCAAAGGACCCUACCCUCCUAAAUCCCUCUUGCGAUUCGCUGACGUGGUUGCUCUCUGUGUCCAGUCUGAGCCAGAGUUCCGACCACCAAUGUACAGGCGCUAGUACGACUAGUGCAACGAGCUAACGUGAGCAAAAGAAAUCUCGGAGAAGAUCGACGAUCAGAAGACCCUGAUGUGCAGGAUGACAUGUAUUAGAGAAUUGCCUUUUGCAAAAAAAAUAUUUAGGCUUAGAACUCUUUUUUUGUUGAUACUCAUUUUCAUUUUUUAGUUUAUACAAAGGGGUAGGGGAAGUGUUCAUCUACGGGAGAGAUAUUGAAAUGUUAUAUAUUGUGUUGUAUCAUUUAUUUUCUGUUUUCCUUCCUUCAAAUUCUUUGAA